GCCGGCGACCAUACCACGUUGAAAGAACCGGUUCUCGUCCGAUCAUCGCAGUUAAGCAACGUUGGGCCCGGUCAGUUUUAUGUUACAUGAAGAUCCUUACAUUAUAUUUC
rfam:Schistosoma rodhaini strain Burundi genome assembly, scaffold: SROB_scaffold0020167